rnacentral:lncRNA from 1 species
GGCGGGACGUUCCCUCUACGACAGUUAGCAGGUCCCAGGAACGCAGCACGCAACAGCGCGGCGCAGACCCAGACUUUUCCCGGGGUGAGACCCAGAGCUCUGCGCUCUGGACAGUCCUCCCUACCCAGCCUGGAGGCCAACGUUCCCCAGCCCACCCGGAGACCUCCCCACUUCCCUGCUGUGCCGACGCUUGCCCCAGUUGGAGCAGCCUCAGGGGGCUGGGAGCUUUCGGUCCAACUCCCUUCUCCCGGACAUCCAAAACAGAUUACCUUGUCCACGCUCUCCAGACCACGCUUUGGACCUUCUCACUUUUAUUUAAGAGUCCGAUGGGGGAAAGAGGAAAAAAAAAAUCCAGAGGAGAUCCAAGUCAAUUGGAAAGAAAAAAUUUCAAAAGGGUGUCCACAGCAGCGAAAAAAAGAAAUUAGUCUCAUCAAUUCAGCUCCAAUUUUGGGUUCGAAUACAGACACGGGGUCUGAACGUGACCAGACCUGGAGUGGCGGGUGCAGCCUGCCAGCAAUUGAGACUCGCCCAGGCUCUACCGACCUUCAAACUACAACAGAGCUUUCAGGAGAAUGCGGGGAGAUCGCUUCCCACCCGGACCUCACCAGAAACCCGCACACCCCACCCCAUUACUCCUCGUUCAGCCAGAAAGGACUCCAGCUCCACCACCGAGAGGCCCCCUUCCUGGUGCUGGGCAGUUGAGAGGCUGUUCAAGGCAUCCCACAGGUGGCGACUGUCCCCCACCCUCCUCCUAGCCCUUUAGAAGGUACCUCUGUGGCAGACACGGUGGCUAGGUUUCUCUUUCCAACUCCUGUUACUCUGACACGUGACAAAUCAUCUUUGUGACAUUAAUCAGUAGUCACCUCAAGAUCCCUAUACUGUUCACCAGUUCCUUUUAGUGUUAGCUGCCUUCCCUGUUGGAAGUGUUCAAUAUGGAACUAGAUUAAAAUGAGGACUUGCUCUUUAGUUUCAACUGUGGAACUCGAUAGCACUUUCUGUUUCUCCUU